CUUUUCAUUCUUACACUACCCAGUAUCCACUCGCUCACAGCACUGCUUCUGCUUCUCCUCUCCUCUCCUCUCUGCUGGUCUAUAUAUCUCAACUUACUUGCUCUCCAUAAUAUAUCGAAUUGAAAAGGUAGAAAGAAGAAUGAAGGUCAUCGGAUUUGCAGUUAUUCUACUUGUGUCGCUCAUCCUGAGCUCUUCUUUUAUUGAGGCCACCGCCCAGGGUGCUCCACCUCCCGCCGAAGAUGCAUUAUUAUCAAAGGACUGUAGUACAAAGUGCAAUGCGAGGUGUAGCAAGGCGGGGUAUGUGGAUCGGUGCACCAAAUACUGCAUGAUAUGCUGUAAGGAUUGCAAAUGCGUUCCUUCUGGGACCUAUGGAAACAAGCACGAGUGCCCCUGCUACAGAGACAAGGUGAACAACAAGGGCAAACCCAAGUGCCCUUGAACUUUAAAGCGUUGAAACUUAUUGAAACUCAUCCUUCCUUUAUAUAUAUAUAUAUAUAUAUAUAUAUGUAAGAGAGACGUAACAGACAGUAGGCCAAAGCCAUUAGGGUAGCUAGGGACUGACUCGAUCAUGAUCCGUUUAGAUCAUCUUUCAAGUAGCUAGGUGCAUCAGACUAUCAGAGUCAGAGGGUGUUUGCCCUAAUUUUUAUUUGGUUUCAACUUUCAAUUCAAUGUAUCCGAUGAAUCCAUCAUGGUGCAUGGCGGUGGCUGUGAUGCACAUCACCUAUCAUAUAGAAAUAAAUAAUUCAUCUAUUUAUGGAAAUGAGGAAAUAGAAUGUUUUGGAAUUUGAUACA